AUUGAACGCUGGCGGCAGGCCUAACACAUGCAAGUCGAACGAGUGGCGGACGGGUGAGUAAUGUCUGGGAAACUGCCUGAUGGAGGGGGAUAACUACUGGAAACGGUAGCUAAUACCGCAUACCAUCGGAUGUGCCCAGAUGGGAUUAGCUAGUGGGGGGGGUAAUGGCUCACCUAGGCGACGAUCCCUCGCUGGUCUGAGAGGAUGACCAGCAACACGGGAACGGGGAAACGGUCAAGACUCCUACGGGAGGCAGCAGUGGGGAAUAUUGCACAAUGGGCGAAAGCCUGAUGAAGCCAUGCCGCGUGUAGGAAGAAGGCCUUCGGGUUGUAAAGUACUUUCAGCGGGGAGGCGUUACCCGCAGAAGAAGCACCGGCUAACUCCGUGCCAGCAGCCGCGGUAAUUC
rnacentral:rRNA from 1 species